GCAGAGGAGGCACCAGAGCUAAGGCGAGGCCAUGCAACGCACUCCCUCUGAGACAGAAGCCGGGAGGGCAUCAGGUUGCCAGGGUCUGAUCAUGCCAUCCUUGGGAGACAGACAUGGGUUUUUCACGCUCGCAUGUUCUCUCCGGAGAUUCGGAGAUUCUGGUUCUGCCUUGCACACACUGGGAGCCCCUGCAAUGUCUGAAUGGACGCCUGAACGACGAAUGGGAUUUUCCGACAGUAACAGGCCUCCAGGCCCUCUUCCUCCUCAAGCAUCCUGUUCUUCCCUCCCAGUCUCACCUUCUUGCCCUCCUCUUCUGUGGAGGGGAAGUCUCAGAGACCCGUGAUGGCUUCCUCCAGCCUGGAGUCUCCCCAGGGCAACACAGAAGCCACAGAGGGAAUGAGCCACUCUUAGAAACUCCAGGUCUGACUGCCUAGACCAGCCCACUACCUAGCGGGUUCCCUUGGGUUGCAGGAAAGAACGUUUUCUAAAUAGUUAUUCUAAUUUUGCGGGGCUGCUGCUUUUAGUUGCAUUUCCUUCGUUACUUUACAAAAAUCCUCUGUAGGCAGCCUGUAGAUCAGGUUUCCUAUAAGAAGUGACUUUUUUCAUCUUCUUCUUCUUUCCAUUACCUGUGAGAAAUUCUAUCUGGGAGUAGGGAUUCCUGGCUUGGCACUCCUCUCUCCUACAGUAUCUAUUUUUAUUACCAUUAAUUACAAUGCAUCAGUCCCACUCAUCAGCGACACCCCCUCCCCGAGGCUGGUGACUGCUCUUGGCGCUCUGCAUCUGGGUGACGCCUGGUCAAGAGGGCACUCCCACCCAGCCAUCCAUCGGAAGGCAGCUACCGAGUUCUGCAUUUUUAAAGGGAGACCUGGAAAAAGCCAGGAUUGCUCUGGAUUUGGAAAUCCAAUACUUUAUUAUGUUGUUGUCUCUGCAAAUUAAAGCGAAAAUCCAGGGGCUGUGACUUAUAGAAGAAUGUGUGCUAAUUAAUUUAUGCACAGUGCCGCGAGACCACUUUAAUCAAGUAUGUGGAAACAAGAUCCAGCGCUGCUGGGGAGGGCACAUGGCCCAGGGAAUCGGGCGCGUGAGGCGGCUGCAGAGGGAUCGGGUCAAUUUUAGCCACAAAUAAAUGUCCUCUGGUAGCUCGUGGCAUGCUGGUCUGUGAUGACAGGCGUGCGCUUGGCCCUCUGGCAAUUACCAUCGCUGUUUUCACCAUUUUACUAUCAUUCAUUGUCAGGAACUGCUCACCUAUGGGGAAGGUUGGGUGGGUGGAACAGAGAGGACGUGGGCUUUGGUAUCAAAUGGGCCUGGGUCCUUGGUUCAGAUCCACCCCCUUAGUAGGUCACUCAAUCUUGGAGUCUUAUUUUGCCCAUUUGUAAACUGAAGACAACAAUCCAGUGCUUGGCACAAAAUAAACAUGCAGCCAUUGCUUAUUGAAUUGACUGCGUUUGCAUUGGGGAUUAGAGAUAAAGUUUAUGAAACAUCUGGUUCACUGUAGGUGCCCAAUAAUUAAAGCUGUUGCUGUCAUCAGGAUGCGAUGGGAUAGUGUGUUUCCGUAAUUGCCUAUAAUCACUGUUGUUUCAGAAAGCACCUGACUUAAGUGUCAAAAGGCGGAUUUAGUUUCCAGGUGACAAAUAUUAUCAGGCUUCUAUUGUAUGCUCAGACCUGGGCGAAGCAUUUUGGGAAAAGCGUUCAGUUAUGCGAACAGAGGUUCGGGAGCAGUGAAAAGACGGGAACUUGCACACACAACGCUGCCGUGGUCUCUCAGCUCACCGUCCACAGCAGCCUCGGACAUAGUGUGGGCAUUGGAGCCAGGCUAUCUAAGUUAAAUCCUGCCUCUGUCACUUAGUAACAGUGUGGCCAAGGGCAAGCCACUUAAUCUUAUGGAGUCAGUUUCCCAGUCUAGUGAGAAUAAAAAGCUGGUGUAACAAGCACCCUGCUCCCAGGAUUUUGGAAUGAGAAAAUGAGUUAAUGUAUGUGAGAAGGCUGGGUCCCUGUUUGGAGACGAGCAGAACUGCCAUCAUGUUUUGCCUUAUUUUAUGGUGUUUUAAGAGAUACAUUUUAUAGCCUCAGCAAGAUUUUAAUGUAGGGUCCUUGUUCAAAGGGUAGAUGGAGGGACACACACAAAGAAUCAAAUAGGAAUGUGCAUGUACACACAAAUAAUUUGUUUAUAUAAGCAAAUGCCUGUCCCCAUACAUGUACAUGUGGACACACACAAAUGCAUAUAUACCUACAUCCAUAGGAAAUUAUGGAUAUACCAUUCAUACUCACACGAGGAAAUUAUUCCUGAAGUCAUGGGGACCAUUUCACCCUCAAUGUACCGUAUAUAUCUACGUCACCCCCAAACCAGACCUCUAUGAGAGUUUAGUCACAAUUUGGUGGUUUUCGGGGAGAAGGAAACUCAGGUGGUAAGAGGGAUAGAAGCUGAAAGUAGGAAAUGUAAAUACAUUCAGUUACUGAGUUUCCCCUUCCGAAUAGCAAGCAUCCUUCACUGGAAAAUUUUGUCCGCUAAACGCGUUAUAAAGUUUGUGGCCGCUUGGCACAUGGCUGGGGAUGGGGGCAUUCUUAAGGAAUCUAUAGUUUCCACUAUCUUUUGUCUUCUAGCUCAUUUUUUAAUCUGAGAAGUUUCUAGAAGGUCGGAUGUCAACUCCUCCCCUCCCCCAAUCAAUAUGGACAAUGCUCACCAGCAAUUCAAUUCAAUCUCAUUCUAGUCUGGCCAAUGAAGCAAAGAUACUUAUUUUCCUAAAGAUCAGUCUAAGGAGGAAUGAAAGUGCUUCUUCUCUAAUCCAGCUCUGUGCUAGGCUCUGUCGGGGGGAAGAGAAGAAGACACUGUUUUGCCCUCUAGAGGUUUAUGGACUAGUUGGGCAAUGGAAGCAACCCGUGUGAAGCCGAAGAAAACAAGUCCACACACUGCUGCCUUUCACCAUGACGGGCAGGGAAGUCAAGAGGAAGGAAGUAUUGAGUGCCUGGGUGUGCAAGGAAGCCUUCUUGGAAAAGGUGGUCUUGAUCUGGGCUUUGGACAACAGGGAGGAUUAGGACAAAGGGAGAGGCACGAGUGGGGCAACCUGAAGUCUGCUGAGUGCAGAGCUGAGUGCUGCCUUCCGGACCUACCUUCUCUAGGCCUGAGAAGGCCUCCUAGGUCCUUGCCUGUCCUUGAACAUGAACAUGACCCAGCACCAAGCAUGGUACCUUUACUAAUAGGAGUUCAAAGUAAGACUUUUAUUAAUUUAUAACUAAUAGCUAUGUUUUAUUGAAUGCCUGCAAUGUGCAGAUCCUGAGCAAAGGGUUUUAGAAGCAGGAUUUCAUUGACUGCUGUGACUACGAAGAGGAUACUAUGAUUGGGCCCAUUUUACAGGUGGCAAACUGGGUGCCUGUGGCACACAGAGGUUACAUUAGUGAAAUGGCAGAGAAGGGAGUCGAACCAAGGUCUGCUUGCAGAGUCUGGGCCUAUUGCCACUACCUUAUAUUGCUGAGCAAUAUAACUGUUCGGUUUAUGUUGGAUACACUGACCAUGAUUUGGCAGGAGCAGAAGAAAAAAAAAAAGGAAUCCACAGAACUGCCCAGAUGCCAGGCAAGUUAAUCAAUGCCAGGACAACGGAGCACUGCUGCCAGGCCAGGGCCUCUCCCCCGCCUCCAGGCAGGACUCAGGGGCAACCUGAGCUGGAUGCAAGGGCAAGCCAGCGCAAUGUCACCUUACCGGUGUUUUAUUUCAGCAAUGGCCCGGGCAGGAGGGAGACCGCCUCAUUGAAAGAAUUGGCUCAUUCUGGAAUGGAGAUUCAUUUCCGACGGCCCCCUCCCACGUCUGCCCGGCUGGCUGGUGUUAGAGGGAGGAUAUUUUCAUAAGGAUGAACUGUUCUUGAACGUUUCCUGCCACUGCACAGGUCUCCCUUCAGCAGUCACAGGGCCUGUUAUCUAACACCUCCCUCCGCUUCCAAACAUAUUCACAUGGAAAUAAAGCCCCUCUAUGAAA